CCAUGGACUGAGGUAUAACCAAUGUGGUCAUUUACUCUUCUGGCUUAGGAACACCCUGGGACUCAGAAGAGUGGAUUCCUAGAAAAGUUAUCAGAAGUUGAAUAAAAGAAGAAGGAGGAAGAGAAAGUCUUUUAAAAUAGGAAAUGGAGUGGGAAACACAUCUCCAUCUGUAAGCCUAUAUGGGACCACGGAAAACAAGAGUAUGAAAAGAAGUUUUUGUUGUUGUUGUUUUUAUAUUUAUUUUAUUUAACUUUUAUUUUAACUUCAGGGGUACAUGUGCAGGCUUGUUACAUAGGUAAACUUUGUCAUGGGUGUUUGUUUUACAGAUUAAUUCAUCACCCAGGUAUUAAGCCUAGUAUCCAAUAGUUGUUUUUCUGAUCCUCUUCCUCUUCCCACCUUCCACCCUCUGAUAUGCUCCAUUAUGUGUUGUUCCCUCUAUGUUUCCAUGUGUUCUCCUCAUUUAGCUCCCUCUUAUAAGUGAGAACAGGAGGUAUUUGCUUUUCUGUUCCUGCAUUGGUUUUCUAAGUAUAAUGGCCUCCAGCUCCAUCCAUGUUCUGCAAAAGACAUGAUUUUAUUUUUAAUGGCUGUAUAAUAUUCCAUGGUGUAAUACUAUGCAGCCAUAAAAAAGGAUGAGUUAAUGUCC
rnacentral:lncRNA from 1 species